GUUAGCGGCGGACGGGUGAGUAACACGUGGAUAACCUACCUAUAAGACUGGGAUAACUUCGGGAAACCGGAGCUAAUACCGGAUAAUAUUUUGAACCGCAUGGUUCAAAAGUGAAAGACGGUCUUACUGUCACUUAUAGAUGGAUCCGCGCUGCAUUAGCUAGUUGGUAAGGUAACGGCUUACCAAGGCAACGAUGCAUAGCCGACCUGAGAGGGUGAUCGGCCACACUGGAACUGAGACACGGUCCAGACUCCUACGGGAGGCAGCAGUAGGGAAUCUUCCGCAAUGGGCGAAAGCCUGACGGAGCAACGCCGCGUGAGUGAUGAAGGUCUUCGGAUCGUAAAACUCUGUUAUUAGGGAAGAACAUAUGUGUAAGUAACUGUGCACAUCUUGACGGUACCUAAUCAGAAAGCCACGGCUAACUACGUGCCAGCAGCCGCGGUAAUACGUAGGUGGCAAGCGUUAUCCGGAAUUAUUGGGCGUAAAGCGCGCGUAGGCGGUUUUUUAAGUCUGAUGUGAAAGCCCACGGCUCAACCGUGGAGGGUCAUUGGAAACUGGAAAACUUGAGUGCAGAAGAGGGAAGUGGAAUUCCAUGUGUAGCGGUGAAAUGCGCAGAGAUAUGGAGGAACACCAGUGGCGAAGGCGACUUUCUGGUCUGUAACUGACGCUGAUGUGCGAAAGCGUGGGGAUCAAACAGGAUUAGAUACCCUGGUAGUCCACGCCGUAAACGAUGAGUGCUAAGUGUU
rnacentral:rRNA from 1 species